rnacentral:rRNA from 1 species
CCUACGGGAGGCAGCAGUCGGGAAUAUUGCGCAAUGGAGGAAACUCUGACGCAGUGACGCCGCGUGCAGGAAGAAGGUUUUCGGAUUGUAAACUGCUUUAGACAGGGAAGAAACAAGACAGUACCUGUAAAAUAAGCUCCGGCUAACUACGUGCCAGCAGCAGCGGUAAUACGUCUGGCGCAAUCGUUAUACGGAUGUAUUUGGGGGAAAGGGUGCGUAGGCGGGGAGUCAAGUUGGUUGUGAAAUCCCUCGGCUUAACUGAGGAACUGCAACCAAAAGUAACUUUCUUGAGUGCUGGAGAGGAAAGUGGAAUUCCUGGUGUAGCGGUGAAAUGCGUAGAUAUUAGGAGGAACACCAGUGGCGAAGGCGACUUUCUGGACAGUAACUGACGUUGAGGCACGAAAGUGUGGGGAGCAAACAGGAUUAGAUACCCGGGUAGUC